GUAGUUGUGGCCGAGUGGUUAAGGCGAUGGAUUAGAACUCCAUUGGCAUUUCCCGGCGUUGGGUCGAAUCCUGCCGACUACG